rnacentral:lncRNA from 1 species
UCAUAUUUGUAUUGUAUGAACACUUUGUUUUACAAAACACACACACACAUGCACUGUAUCCAUAGCCCGGAUCCGUUGACAAUAAACAUGAAUAAUCUUCAGCUAAUACCAGAGUGGUGACGAUCCCUGAUAUCCAUGAGAUAAGGAUGAGAAUAUGAUAGUCUCAAUUGCUUUACAGUGGUCAUGUUUGCAUAAACCGAAUCCACUUUUUUUUAGCUACAUUUUUUAUCAAGGCUGUCCACAACUAGAAGGUAAGAAUAAGAUAACCCA